rnacentral:rRNA from 1 species
GACGAACGCUGGCGGCGUGCCUAACACAUGCAAGUCGAGCGGAGAUAAUCUGAAGUUUACUUUGGGUUGUCUUAGCGGCGGACGGGUGAGUAACGCGUGGGCAACCUGCCUAUGACAGGGGGAUAACACAGGGAAACUUGUGCUAAUACCGCAUAAAACAGCGAGGUAGCAUUACCUUGAUGUCAAAGGAGCAAUCCGGUUAUAGAUGGGCCCGCGUCCAAUUAGCUAGUUGGUGAUGUAACGGACCACCAAGGCGACGAUUGGUAGCCGAACUGAGAGGUUGAUCGGCCACAUUGGGACUGAGACACGGCCCAGACUCCUACGGGAGGCAGCAGUGGGGAAUAUUGCACAAUGGGGGAAACCCUGAUGCAGCAACGCCGCGUGAAGGAUGAAGGUUUUCGGAUUGUAAACUUCUUUAGUCAGGGACGAAUAAAAUGACGGUACCUGAAGAAUAAGCCACGGCUAACUACGUGCCAGCAGCCGCAGUAACAC